rnacentral:rRNA from 1 species
CUGUUGGGUAGGGGAGCGUCGUGUAAGCGGAUGAAGGUGUACUGAGAAGUAUGCUGGACGUAUCACGAGUGCGAAUGCUGACAUAAGUAACGAUAAAACGAGUGAAAAACUCGUUCGCCGGAAGACCAAGGGUUCCUGUCCAACGUUAAUCGGGGCAGGGUGAGUCGGCCCCUAAGGCGAGGCUGAAAAGCGUAGUCGAUGGGAAACGGGUUAAUAUUCCCGUACUUGGAUAAACUGCGAUGUGGGGACGGAGAAGGUUAGGUUAGCAGACUGUUGGAUGUCUGUUUAAGGCGGUAGUUGGGAGACUUAGGCAAAUCCGGGUCUCUGUUAACAACGAGAACUGAUGACGAGCUGCUACGGCAGUGAAGUAACCGAUACCACGCUUCCAGGAAAAGCCACUAAGCUUCAGGUUUAUCUAAACCGUACUGAAAACCGACACAGGUGGUCAGGUAGAGAAUACUCAGGCGCUUGAGAGAACUCGGGUGAAGGAACUAGGCAAAAUAGCACCGUAACUUCGGGAGAAGGUGCGCCGGCGUAGAUUGUAGUGAUUUACUCACGAAGGUUGAACCGGUCGAAGAUACCAGCUGGCUGCAACUGUUUAUUAAAAACACAGCACUCUGCAAACACGAAAGUGGACGUAUAGGGUGUGAUGCCUGCCCGGUGCUGGAAGGUUAAUUGAUGGUGUUAUCGCAAGAGAAGCUCCUGAUCGAAGCCCCAGUAAACGGCGGCCGUAACUAUAACGGUCCUAAGGUAGCGAAAUUCCUUGUCGGGUAAGUUCCGACCUGCACGAAUGGCAUAAUGAUGGCCAGGCUGUCUCCACCCGAGACUCAGUGAAAUUGAAAUCGCCGUGAAGAUGCGGUGUACCCGCGGCUAGACGGAAAGACCCCGUGAACCUUUACUAUAGCUUGACACUGAACAUUGAAUUUUGAUGUGUAGGAUAGGUGGGAGCCUUAGAAGCAGUCACGCCAGUGAUUGUGGAGGCGUCCUUGAAAUACCACCCUUUAACGUUUGAUGUUCUAACGAAGAUUACGAAACGUGGUCUCGGACAGUGUCUGGUGGGUAGUUUGACUGGGGCGGUCUCCUCCCAAAGAGUAACGGAGGAGCACGAAGGUUUGCUAAUCACGGUCGGACAUCGUGAGGUUAGUGCAAUGGUAUAAGCAAGCUUAACUGCGAGACAGACAAGUCGAGCAGGUGCGAAAGCAGGUCAUAGUGAUCCGGUGGUUCUGAAUGGAAGGGCCAUCGCUCAACGGAUAAAAGGUACUCCGGGGAUAACAGGCUGAUACCGCCCAAGAGUUCAUAUCGACGGCGGUGUUUGGCACCUCGAUGUCGGCUCAUCACAUCCUGGGGCUGAAGUAGGUCCCAAGGGUAUGGCUGUUCGCCAUUUAAAGUGGUACGCGAGCUGGGUUUAGAACGUCGUGAGACAGUUCGGUCCCUAUCUGCCGUGGGCGUUGGAUGAUUGAAAGGGGCUGCUCCUAGUACGAGAGGACCGGAGUGGACGCAUCACUGGUGUACCAGUUGUCUCGCCAGAGGCACUGCUGGGUAGCUAAAUGCGGAAGAGAUAAGUGCUGAAAGCAUCUAAGCACGAAACUUGCCUUGAGAUGAGUCAUCCCACUCUUUAAGAGUGUAAGGGUUGUUGGAGACUACGACGUAGAUAGGCUGGGUGUGUAAGCGUUGCGAGACGUUGAGCUAACCAGUACUAAUUGCCCGAGAGGCUUAACCAUACAACCUCAAGCGUU